rnacentral:rRNA from 1 species
GUGGGGAAUAUUCCGCAAUGGGCGGCAAGCCUGACGGAGCAACGCCGCGUGAAUGAAGAAGGUUUUCGGAUUGUAAAGUUCUGUCAUUAGGGACGAAGGACCUGUG